CGGGUGCUUGCACCUGGUGGCGAGUGGCGAACGGGUGAGUAAUACAUCGGAACAUGUCCUGUAGUGGGGGAUAGCCCGGCGAAAGCCGGAUUAAUACCGCAUACGAUCUACGGAUGAAAGCGGGGGACCUUCGGGCCUCGCGCUAUAGGGUUGGCCGAUGGCUGAUUAGCUAGUUGGUGGGGUAAAGGCCUACCAAGGCGACGAUCAGUAGCUGGUCUGAGAGGACGACCAGCCACACUGGGACUGAGACACGGCCCAGACUCCUACGGGAGGCAGCAGUGGGGAAUUUUGGACAAUGGGCGAAAGCCUGAUCCAGCAAUGCCGCGUGUGUGAAGAAGGCCUUCGGGUUGUAAAGCACUUUUGUCCGGAAAGAAAUCCUUGGUUCUAAUAUAGCCGGGGGAUGACGGUACCGGAAGAAUAAGCACCGGCUAACUACGUGCCAGCAGCCGCGGUAAUACGUAGGGUGCGAGCGUUAAUCGGAAUUACUGGGCGUAAAGCGUGCGCAGGCGGUUUGCUAAGACCGAUGUGAAAUCCCCGGGCUCAACCUGGGAACUGCAUUGGUGACUGGCAGGCUAGAGUAUGGCAGAGGGGGGUAGAAUUCCACGUGUAGCAGUGAAAUGCGUAGAGAUGUGGAGGAAUACCGAUGGCGAAGGCAGCCCCCUGGGCCAAUACUGAC
rnacentral:rRNA from 1 species